rnacentral:rRNA from 1 species
UUUUGUAUAAUGGGUCAGCGACUUAUAUUCUGUAGCAAGGUUAACCGAAUAGGGGAGCCGAAGGGAAACCGAGUCUUAACUGGGCGUUAAGUUGCAGGGUAUAGACCCGAAACCCGGUGAUCUAGCCAUGGGCAGGUUGAAGGUUGGGUAACACUAACUGGAGGACCGAACCGACUAAUGUUGAAAAAUUAGCGGAUGACUUGUGGCUGGGGGUGAAAGGCCAAUCAAACCGGGAGAUAGCUGGUUCUCCCCGAAAGCUAUUUAGGUAGCGCCUCGUGAAUUCAUCUCCGGGGGUAGAGCACUGUUUCGGCAAGGGGGUCAUCCCGACUUACCAACCCGAUGCAAACUGCGAAUACCGGAGAAUGUUAUCACGGGAGACACACGGCGGGUGCUAACGUCCGUCGUGAAGAGGGAAACAACCCAGACCGCCAGCUAAGGUCCCAAAGUCAUGGUUAAGUGGGAAACGAUGUGGGAAGGCCCAGACAGCCAGGAUGUUGGCUUAGAAGCAGCCAUCAUUUAAAGAAAGCGUAAUAGCUCACUGGUCGAGUCGGCCUGCGCGGAAGAUGUAACGGGGCUAAACCAUGCACCGAAGCUGCGGCAGCGACACUAUGUGUUGUUGGGUAGGGGAGCGUUCUGUAAGCCUGUGAAGGUGUGCUGUGAGGUAUGCUGGAGGUAUCAGAAGUGCGAAUGCUGACAUAAGUAACGAUAAAGCGGGUGAAAAGCCCGCUCGCCGGAAGACCAAGGGUUCCUGUCCAACGUUAAUCGGGGCAGGGUGAGUCGACCCCUAAGGCGAGGCCGAAAGGCGUAGUCGAUGGGAAACAGGUUAAUAUUCCUGUACUUGGUGUUACUGCGAAGGGGGGACGGAGAAGGCUAUGUUGGCCGGGCGACGGUUGUCCCGGUUUAAGCGUGUAGGCUGGUUUUCCAGGCAAAUCCGGAAAAUCAAGGCUGAGGCGUGAUGACGAGGCACUACGGUGCUGAAGCAACAAAUGCCCUGCUUCCAGGAAAAGCCUCUAAGCAUCAGGUAACAUCAAAUCGUACCCCAAACCGACACAGGUGGUCAGGUAGAGAAUACCAAGGCGCUUGAGAGAACUCGGGUGAAGGAACUAGGCAAAAUGGUGCCGUAACUUCGGGAGAAGGCACGCUGAUAUGUAGGUGAAGUCCCUUGCGGAUGGAGCUGAAAUCAGUCGAAGAUACCAGCUGGCUGCAACUGUUUAUUAAAAACACAGCACUGUGCAAACACGAAAGUGGACGUAUACGGUGUGACGCCUGCCCGGUGCCGGAAGGUUAAUUGAUGGGGUUAGCGGUAACGCGAAGCUCUUGAUCGAAGCCCCGGUAAACGGCGGCCGUAACUAUAACGGUCCUAAGGUAGCGAAAUUCCUUGUCGGGUAAGUUCCGACCUGCACGAAUGGCGUAAUGAUGGCCAGGCUGUCUCCACCCGAGACUCAGUGAAAUUGAACUCGCUGUGAAGAUGCAGUGUACCCGCGGCAAGACGGAAAGACCCCGUGAACCUUUACUAUAGCUUGACACUGAACAUUGAGCCUUGAUGUGUAGGAUAGGUGGGAGGCUUUGAAGUGUGGACGCCAGUCUGCAUGGAGCCGACCUUGAAAUACCACCCUUUAAUGUUUGAUGUUCUAACGUUGGCCCCUGAUCGGGGUUGCGGACAGUGUCUGGUGGGUAGUUUGACUGGGGCGGUCUCCUCCUAAAGAGUAACGGAGGAGCACGAAGGUUGGCUAAUCCUGGUCGGACAUCAGGAGGUUAGUGCAAUGGCAUAAGCCAGCUUGACUGCGAGCGUGACGGCGCGAGCAGGUGCGAAAGCAGGUCAUAGUGAUCCGGUGGUUCUGAAUGGAAGGGCCAUCGCUCAACGGAUAAAAGGUACUCCGGGGAUAACAGGCUGAUACCGCCCAAGAGUUCAUAUCGACGGCGGUGUUUGGCACCUCGAUGUCGGCUCAUCACAUCCUGGGGCUGAAGUAGGUCCCAAGGGUAUGGCUGUUCGCCAUUUAAAGUGGUACGCGAGCUGGGUUUAGAACGUCGUGAGACAGUUCGGUCCCUAUCUGCCGUGGGCGCUGGAGAACUGAGGGGGGCUGCUCCUAGUACGAGAGGACCGGAGUGGACGCAUCACUGGUGUUCGGGUUGUCAUGCCAAUGGCACUGCCCGGUAGCUAAAUGCGGAAGAGAUAAGUGCUGAAAGCAUCUAAGCACGAAACUUGCCCCGAGAUGAGUUCUCCCUGACUCCUUGAGAGUCCUGAAGGAACGUUGAAGACGACGACGUUGAUAGGCCGGGUGUGUAAGCGCAGCGAUGCGUUGAGCUAACCGGUACUAAUGAACCGUGAGGCUUAACCUU